rnacentral:rRNA from 1 species
CCUACGGGUGGCAGCAGUGGGGAAUAUUGGACAAUGGGCGAAAGCCUGAUCCAGCCAUGCCGCGUGUGUGAAGAAGGCCUUCGGGUUGUAAAGCACUUUCAGUGGGGAAGAAAGCCUUGGGGCUAAUACCCUCGAGGAAGGACAUCACCCACAGAAGAAGCACCGGCUAACUCCGUGCCAGCAGCCGCGGUAAUACGGAGGGUGCGAGCGUUAAUCGGAAUUACUGGGCGUAAAGCGCGCGUAGGCGGUCUGAUAAGCCGGUUGUGAAAGCCCCGGGCUCAACCUGGGAACGGCAUCCGGAACUGUCAGGCUAGAGUGCAGGAGAGGAAGGUAGAAUUCCCGGUGUAGCGGUGAAAUACGUAGAGAUCGGGAGGAAUACCAGUGGCGAAGGCGGCCUUCUGGACUGACACUGACGCUGAGGUGCGAAAGCGUGGGUAGCAAACAGGAUUAGAUACCCGAGUAGUC